AUUUUUGUACAAGUAUCUCAUGCAAUAUUUGGGACAUACUUAUACUAAAA
rnacentral:miRNA from 1 species